rnacentral:tRNA from 1 species
UUUUAUUUAGUUUAUUAUAAAACAUUAUAUUUUCAAUAUAAAAAUAAAAUUAUUUUUAAUAAAAA